UACGGGGGGGGCAAGCGUUGUUCGGAAUUACUGGGCGUAAAGCGCGCGUAGGCGGCCCUCCAAGUCAGGCGUGAAAGCCCCGGGCUCAACCCGGGAAUAGCGCUUGAGACUGGGGGGCUUGAGUUCGGGAGAGGAGAGUGGAAUUCCCAGUGUAGAGGUGAAAUUCGUAGAUAUCAGGAGGAACACCAAUGGCGAAGGCAGCUCGCUGGGACGGUACUGACGCUGAGACGCGAAAGCGUGGGGAGCAAACAGG
rnacentral:rRNA from 1 species